UCCAUAUUCCCCUAUAAAGCACAGAAUGCCAAUUAGUCUAUAAAAAUAAAAGAAGGUUAAAUGUCACGAAAACAGAAAAUUAGAUUACAUUUUAAAAAUGCUUCAAGUUAUAAAAAUUACUUAUCAUUGUUGUUUGUGCAUGUAUAAGUGAUAACAAAUUAGGGGGUUAUAGUAACGAAUUAUGUAAAAUAAAUUAAUUUGCAUUACAAUUUGAACAACAAUUUUAGGUUGCAAAAGAACCCUAUUUGAUUUAUUUUUAAAUUGAUUUGAGUUAUUAUUAUUCAAUAUUAGUUUUCCAACAGCACUUUCUUCACACACUUCAAGCGUACUUAUUGUUACAACAGCUAAAACAAGUAAAUCUUCGCAAAAGCAGCAGCAGAAACUGUUUAUUUUCCUUUGAAUCCUGUAAAAUGUCAAAAAUGUUUGGAAAUAAACGUACCCAUCCAGAUGACCAUUACGGUCAUGGUACUAAUUUAAAACCUGGUACCAGCCGUGAUAGCAGCAGCAGUAGCGGCAUUCCACAACCCAGUACCAGUGGUAGAAAUUAUCAGAGCUCUUUAAAUCUAAGCAGAAAUAUAAAGACCCAUUAGUAAUUAAUUUCUAUUUAACAUUAGGUUUUAGAUACUAAUAGUAACAAAAAAAUAGAUAAAUUAGUACAGGAAAUAAUUAAAACUUUUGAAAAGGCUAGUAGGAUAAUUAAGACUAAAAAAGAACACAAUAAGUGGAUUAGUUUAUUAAGAAAAAAUAUUUUUACGAUUAAAAAUGUAUAAAAACAAAAUCAAAAUGUAUUCAAAAUUUUCCUUGUGCCGAAGCAGGACUUGCAUUACUCAAACAUUAUCAUUUCAAUUUAAAGAAUUCUAAGCGAAUUAAAUUUGGUAGAUCACAACAUAAUAUCAUAAAAAAUCUACUUUGGCAAGAUGUGGAAUCUUGUUUUAAUGGAAGAAUUAAGACGGGUAUUAUAUAACUAACAUUAAUAUCAAAAAUCCUACAAUUUUUUUAAAACAAGCAUUUAAAAGUUUUUCCUUAAAAAUAAAAAAAGAAUUAAAGCAAUCGUUACUUAAAGUAAAUGCAAUUUUUUCUGCUAAUUUUGUAAAGCCACACUGCUGAAACAGAUGUUAAAACAUUUUUAACAAAGAAUGAAAUUAUUGACAACACAACAAAUUUAAAAUAUUGGUAUAAGAAAAAUAUUGAAGAGAAAAUUUUAGCUAAAUUGGAAAAUUUUCAAGAAAGGGAUAGCGGGUGGGCCUUAUUUCAAAUUAUUCACCUUAAAAUUAAUAUAAAUCAGUUUAACCCCAUUAGUGUUGGUUCAUCGACUUAUGUGGAUUUACCUAAUUUUAUUAAGAAAACAAAAGCGGUUAUUAAUAUAGAAAAUAAUGAUGAAUAUUGCUUUCUAUGGUCAAUAGUGUGUGCUUUAUAUCCUGCUCCUUCUCAUAAAAACUCUAGUGCUACCAGUUCAUAUCCACAUUUUACACAAGUACAAGGCCUACAUUAUUACGAUAUUACUUUUCCCAUAGGUUUAAAAGAUAUUUCAAAGUUUGAAAAAAUGAACUCAAUUUCAAUUAACGUGUACACUUUUGAAAAGAAAGAAAUUUUUCCUGUAAGUUUAACAAAAACAGAUUUUGAACUGAAAAUUAACUUACUUAUUAUUCCUUGUAUUAACUAUAAUAGUGAUGAUGAUGACUCAGAAAACGAUGAUGAUGA
rnacentral:lncRNA from 1 species